CUCUUUCGGAAUUCGCCUAAACCUCAACUAUUUCUGUAAUACACUCUUCAUUAUUUUGGAGUCGGUAGCAAAUAGCUGAA